GACGGCAUAGUCGACGCUCGGACCGAUUCUCAAGUUCACGCUUUUCGCCUUCAGGCUGACGAAGCGGGGGAGGGGAAGGCC
rnacentral:sRNA from 1 species